GCAUAUCAAUAAGCGGAGGAAAAGAAACCAACAGGGAUUGCCUCAGUAACGGCGAGUGAAGCGGCAAAAGCUCAAAUUUGAAAUCUAGCACUUUCAGUGUUCGAGUUGUAAUUUGAAGAAGGUAACUUUGGUUUUGGCUCUUGUCUAUGUUCCUUGGAACAGGACGUCACAGAGGGUGAGAAUCCCGUGCGAUGAGAUGCCCAAUUCCAUGUAAAGUGCUUUCGAAGAGUCGAGUUGUUUGGGAAUGCAGCUCUAAGUGGGUGGUAAAUUCCAUCUAAAGCUAAAUAUUGGCGAGAGACCGAUAGCGAACAAGUACAGUGAUGGAAAGAUGAAAAGAACUUUGAAAAGAGAGUGAAAAAGUACGUGAAAUUGUUGAAAGGGAAGGGCUUGAGAUCAGACUUGGUAUUUUGCGUUCCCUUCCUUUUUGGUUGGGUUCCUCGCAGUUUACUGGGCCAGCAUCGGUUUGGAUGGUAGGAUAAUGACAUUGGAAUGUAGCUUUACUUCGGUGAAGUGUUAUAGACUUUGUUGAUACUGCCUAUCUAGACCGAGGACUGCGUCUUUGACUAGGAUGCUGGCGUAAUGAUCUUAANCCNCCCGUCUUGAAACACGGACC
rnacentral:rRNA from 1 species